rnacentral:misc_RNA from 1 species
AAGUCGUAACAAGGUUUCCGUAGGUGAACCUGCGGAAGGAUCAUUACCUUUCAUUGCAGCAGAAUUGGGAUGGUUGAGUAUCUCGCCUCUCCGUUCUGCCUGUAUUCUACCCUUGUUUGUCAUAUACUAUUAUUUCCUCGGCAGGCUUGCCUGCCGAGUGAAACCAUUUAUAACCUUUUUAAUUUUCAAUCAGCGUCUGAAAAAAUUAAUAAUUACAACUUUCAACAACGGAUCUCUUGGUUCUG